rnacentral:tRNA from 1 species
GUGGGUAUAGCUCAGUGGUAGAGCACAGGCUUAGCAUGCAGAAGGUCCUGGGUUCAAUCCCCAGUACCUCCA